rnacentral:rRNA from 1 species
ACAAAGCUAGCGGCGGACGGGUGAGUAACACGUGGGCAACCUGCCUCAUAGAGGGGAAUAGCCUCCCGAAAGGGAGAUUAAUACCGCAUAAGAUUGUAGCUUCGCAUGAAGUAGCAAUUAAAGGAGCAAUCCGCUAUGAGAUGGGCCCGCGGCGCAUUAGCUAGUUGGUGAGGUAACGGCUCACCAAGGCGACGAUGCGUAGCCGACCUGAGAGGGUGAUCGGCCACAUUGGGACUGAGACACGGCCCAAACUCCUACGGGAGGCUGCAGUGGGGAAUAUUGCACAAUGGGCGCAAGCCUGAUGCAGCCAUGCCGCGUGUGUGAAGAAGGCCUUCGGGUUGUAAAGCUCUGUCUUCAGGGACGAUAAUGACGGUACCUGAGGAGGAAGCCACGGCUAACUACGUGCCAGCAGCCGCGGUAAUACGUAGGUGGCGAGCGUUGUCCGGAUUUACUGGGCGUAAAGCGCGCGCAGGCGGAUCAGUCAGUAUGAAGUUAAAGGCUGUGGCUCAACCAUAGUUCGCUUUGGAAACUGUCAAACUUGAGUGCAGAAGGGGAGAGUGGAAUUCCAGGUGUAGCGGUGAAAUGCGUAGAGAUCUGGAGGAAUACCGGUGGCGAAGGCGGCCCCCUGGACAAAGACUGACGCUGAGGUGCGAAAGCGUGGGGAGCGAACAGGAUUAGAUACCCUGGUAGUCCACGCCGUAAACGUGGAUGCUGGAUGUGGGGCCCGUUCCACGGGUUCCGUGUCGGAGCUAACGCGUUAAGCAUCCCGCCUGGGGAGUACGGCCGCAAGGUUAAAACUCAAAGGAAUUGACGGGGGCCCGCACAAGCGGUGGAGCAUGUGGUUUAAUUCGAUGCAACGCGAAGAACCUUACCUGGUCUUGACAUCCACAGAACUUGGCAGAGAUGCCUUGGUGCCUUCGGGAACUGUGAGACAGGUGCUGCAUGGCUGUCGUCAGCUCGUGUCGGGAAAUGUUGGGUUAAGUCCCGCAACGAGCGCAACCCUUAUCCUUUGUUGCCAGCGGUCCGGCCGGGAACUCAAAGGAGACUGCCAGUGAUAAACUGGAGGAAGGUGGGGAUGACGUCAAGUCAUCAUGGCCCUUACGACCAGGGCUACACACGUGCUACAAUGGCGCAUACAAAGAGAAGCGACCUCGCGAGAGCAAGCGGACCUCAUAAAGUGCGUCGUAGUCCGGAUUGGAGUCUGCAACUCGACUCCAUGAAGUCGGAAUCGCUAGUAAUCGUGGAUCAGAAUGCCACGGUGAAU